AUUGAACGCUGGCGGAAUGCUUUACACAUGCAAGUCGAACGGCAGCACGGACUUCGGUCUGGUGGCGAGUGGCGAACGGGUGAGUAAUGUAUCGGAACGUGCCCAGUCGUGGGGGAUAACGUAGUGAGAAUUACGCUAAUACCGCAUACGAUCUAUGGAUGAAAGCGGGGGAUCGCAAGACCUCGCGCGAUUGGAGCGGCCGAUAUCAGAUUAGGUAGUUGGUGGGGUAAAGGCCCACCAAGCCAACGAUCUGUAGCUGGUCUGAGAGGACGACCAGCCACACUGGAACUGGGCAACGGUCCAGACUCCUACGGGAGGCAGCAGUGGGGAAUUUUGGACAAGGAGCGAAAGCCUGAUUCAGCCAUUCCGCGUGCAGGAUGAAGGCCCUCGGGUUGUAAACUGCUUUUGUAAAGAACGAAAAGGUUUCUACUAAUACUAGGAGCUCAUGACGGUACUGUAAGAAUAAGCACCGGCUAACUACGUGCCAGCCGCCGCCGUAA
rnacentral:rRNA from 1 species